UCAAGUAAUUAAGCGCAUACGGUGGAUGCCUUGGCAGCUAGAGGCGAUGAAGGACGUAGUAACUUGCGAUAAGCUUCGGGGAGCCGGUAAACAGGCUUUGAUCCGAAGAUUUCCGAAUGGGAAAACCCACCUAGGACAACCUAGGUAUCUUUAUCUGAAUUCAUAGGAUAUAGAGGCAAACGCGGAGAAUUGAAACAUCUUAGUAACCGCAGGAAAAGAAAUCAAUUGAGAUUCUGUGAGUAGCGGCGAGCGAAAGCGGAACAGCCCUUAAGCUCUUAUUUGGUUAGUGGAAUGGUCUGGAAAGGCCGGUCGUAGAAGGUGAUAACCCUGUACACGAAAACUAAAUAGAAGUGAAAUCGAGUAGGUCGGGACACGAGAAAUCUUGACUGAAUAUGGGGGGACCAUCCUCCAAGGCUAAAUACUCCUAGCUGACCGAUAGUGAACCAGUACCGUGAGGGAAAGGCGAAAAGUACCCCGGAGAGGGGAGUGAAAUAGAACCUGAAACCGUUUGCGUACAAGCUGUCGGAGCUUUUUAAGCCGUUCGCGGUUUAAAGAGUGACGGCGUACCUUUUGUAUAAUGGGUCAGCGAGUUAUUUUCUGUGGCAAGCUUAACUUUAUGAGGAAGGCGCAGGGAAACCGAGUCUUAAUAGGGCGACUUAGUCUCAGGUAAUAGACGCGAAACCGGACGAUCUAUCCAUGGCCAGGGUGAAGGUGAGGUAACACUUACUGGAGGCCCGAACCCACCUAUGUUGAAAAAUGGGGGGAUGAGCUGUGGAUCGGAGUGAAAGGCUAAUCAAGUUCGGAGAUAUCUCGUUCUCCCCGAAAUCUAUUUAGGUAGAGCCUCUUGUAUUACUGUUGGGGGUAGAGCACUGUUUCGGCUAGGGGGUCAUCCCGACUUACCAAACCGAUGCAAACUCCGAAUACCAACAAGUACAGCAAGGGAGACAGACUGCGGGUGCUAACGUCCGUAGUCGAGAGGGAAACAACCCAGACCGCCAGCUAAGGUCCCAAAUUGUGAUUAAGUGGGAAACGAUGUAGGAAGGCUUAAACAGCUAGGAGGUUGGCUUAGAAGCAGCCAUCCUUUAAAGAAAGCGUAACAGCUCACUAGUCGAGUCGGCCUGCGCGGAAGAUUUAACGGGGCUAAAUCACAAACCGAAGCUGCGGAUAAUUUACCGGUUACGGCCGGUUUAUUAUGGUAGGGGAGCGUUCUGUAAGCCGUUGAAGGCAAAUUGUAAGGUUUGCUGGAGGUAUCAGAAGUGAGAAUGCUGACAUGAGUAACGAUAAGAGAGGUGAAAAACCUCUCCGCCGAAAACCCAAGGUUUCCUGUCCAACGUUAAUCGGGACAGGGUGAGUCGACCCCUAAGGCGAGGGCGAAAGCCGUAGUCGAUGGGAAAUAGGUUAAUAUUCCUAUACUUCUUGUUACUGCGAUGGAGUGACGGAGAAGGCUAGGCCAGCAAGGUGAUGGAUAUCCUUGUUUAAGGUUGUAGGUUGGAAUUCUAGGUAAAUCCGGAAUUCUAAGACCGAGAACUGAUGACGAAUAUUUCUUUUAGAAAUACUAAGUGGUCGAUGCCAUGCUUCCAGGAAAAACUUCUAAGCUUCAGGUAGCAAGGAAUCGUACCGUAAACCGACACAGGUGGGUGGGUAGAGAAUACCAAGGCGCUUGAGAGAACUCUGGUGAAGGAACUAGGCAAAAUGGUACCGUAACUUCGGGAGAAGGUACGCCCUCAUUAGGUGAAGAGACUUGCUCUCAGAGCCGAAGAGGGUCGAAGAUACCAGGUGGCUGCGACUGUUUACUAAAAACACAGCACUCUGCUAACACGAAAGUGGACGUAUAGGGUGUGACGCCUGCCCGGUGCCGGAAGGUUAAUUGAUCGGGUUAGCCCUUGUGGCGAAGCUCGUGAUUGAAGCCCCGGUGAACGGCGGCCGUAACUAUAACGGUCCUAAGGUAGCGAAAUUCCUUGUCGGGUAAGUUCCGAC
rnacentral:rRNA from 1 species